CUACGGGAGGCUGCAGUGAGGAAUAUUGCACAAUGGGGGGAACCCUGAUGCAGCAACGCCGCGUGGAGGAUGACGCAUUUCGGUGUGUAAACUCCUUUUAUGUGUCAAGAAAAUGACGGUAGCAUAUGAAUAAGCACCGGCUAACUCCGUGCCAGCAGCCGCGGUAAUACGGAGGGUGCAAGCGUUACUCGGAAUCACUGGGCGUAAAGGACGCGUAGGCGGGUUGGAAAGUCAAGUGUGAAAUCCUACAGCUUAACUGUAGAACUGCACUUGAAACUUCUAAUCUAGAGUAUGGGAGGGGGAGAUGGAAUUAGUGGUGUAGGGGUAAAAUCCGUAGAUAUCACUAGGAAUACCUAAAGCGAAGGCGAUCUCCUGGAACAUUACUGACGCUAAGGCGUGAAAGCGUGGGGAGCAAACAGGAUUAGAUACCCGCGUAGUC
rnacentral:rRNA from 1 species